ACCUAAACUCUUUCUACAGAGGUUCAAAUCCUCUCAUUAACUU
rnacentral:tRNA from 1 species